UCGUGGCAACUUCAGUUAGAUAGCCGCCAGUGACUCAUCGUGAGGCCAUCAUCAUCCAUAGACACGAGGAUAGAGAGGCCGACACACACAUGGACGGACGGGUGCCUAGGUGCGGCCGAGAACGCGCUCCAGUCACAGAGUUUCAGUUAUUCGUUGCUGUGCUGUAAAGUGCUGCAACUUCACUGCAGAAAAGAACAACGAGUUGCUCACAGAUCGCCGGAGCCCCGCCUCCUCCGGUGGCAGCUCCUCUGCGCAACGUGAGGAAACGGAAGCAACCAGUAACCGAAGGCGCGCGAGCGAGAGCGAGGAGGGACAGGCACCGCGUGGGCGGCCAGAUCGCGCACUUGGUAAUAUUAUUGACUCCUUUUGCCUUUGGCGCUGAUACUUUGUAAGCUGCCAGCAGGAAAAGAUUACUUGUUUCAGCAAGUUAGGCUCAGUUGUAGUUCUUUUUUGAUCUUAUAUUGUGUUUUUGUACGAUCGAUAUAUGCUAGAUAGACAUUUGGAUUCAAAUCAGAAUAGUGUGAACAUGACUCGUCGAAGUAGCUAGUUCAGUAUAUUGAGUAUCUGAAGUCAAUUUUCUUCAAGAUUCAUUGCAUUCCUAAUUAUUUACCACAAGUUGUUAGCUCACCUGAUUCGAUUGGUAUAUGGGCUCUAGGUAAAGGGCCUGCACGAAAAGACUAAUGAGGUUAAAGUUAGCUAACUUAGGGCGGUGAGUUCUGCUGGUGGCCGACAUUCCCUAGUUAUCUCAUCUUUUGUAAGGAUUGUUUGACACACAUCCAAAUAUUGGGGUGAUGUAUGCUCAGUGCGUUGCUCUGUCCCUAGUUGUAAGAUUAGCCUGCUGGGAACUUAUCCAAACUAGUCUUUUCAAGAUUUAAGAUGUAUCUUGUUCAAUAUAUCGUUUAUAAAUUCUAGGAUUUCUGAUGUAUUAAACUGUUGCUGACUUGAUGCAUGCACGGUGCUUUCAGAUACACGGCAGUGACGGUCUAGCGAGAUUGAUGACCCAUGAUGAUUCCGCAAGGCGCCGAGGAGGGAAGCACCUCCUAGAUCUCAGAUUUGCAAGCACCAAGAUGAAAUGGCAAGCCGAGCCGGCCGGCCAUGUUAGCCCGUGCGUUGUUCGUUGUUUAGUUGUUUUCGGGCGAAGUGCUGCUAAUUGCUGAUAUGGGUGUUGAUAUAGUGGUGCGCACGUGCUGUACAAUUGUUGUGCCCAAGUGUUGGGAGGCUGGUGGUAUUAAACUCAUCAUGAACCGCUAAGCUAGUGCUGGAACGAAAUUCUAGUAACACCGUUUUAUGUAUGUGUUGUACCCAUCCGAGCUAUGAAAUGCAAUGAAUCUUUCGGCAAAAGGAUAGCUGUUGCUGCUGCAAAUUUCCAGUUACGUACACAUUUUGUACAUGAAUAUCUCAAAUGGGGAUUUGAAAUUCUG
rnacentral:lncRNA from 1 species